rnacentral:pre_miRNA from 1 species
AAGACACCCCGAUGGAGCAGGACUUGCGUCAGUGUGGUUUUAGUGCUCACUGAGUCUGCUCCUUAAGUGUGUCAUU